UACCAUGCAGUCGAGCGGAGAUGAGGUGCUUGCACCUUAUCUUAGCGGCGGACGGGUGAGUAAUGCUUAGGAAUCUGCCUAUUAGUGGGGGACAACAUUCCGAAAGGAAUGCUAAUACCGCAUACGUCCUACGGGAGAAAGCAGGGGAUCUUCGGACCUUGCGCUAAUAGAUGAGCCUAAGUCGGAUUAGCUAGUUGGUGGGGUAAAGGCCUACCAAGGCGACGAUCUGUAGCGGGUCUGAGAGGAUGAUCCGCCACACUGGGACUGAGACACGGCCCAGACUCCUACGGGAGGCAGCAGUGGGGAAUAUUGGACAAUGGGGGGAACCCUGAUCCAGCCAUGCCGCGUGUGUGAAGAAGGCCUUAUGGUUGUAAAGCACUUUAAGCGAGGAGGAGGCUACUGAGACUAAUACUCUUGGAUAGUGGACGUUACUCGCAGAAUAAGCACCGGCUAACUCUGUGCCAGCAGCCGCGGUAAUACAGAGGGUGCGAGCGUUAAUCGGAUUUACUGGGCGUAAAGCGUGCGUAGGCGGCUUUUUAAGUCGGAUGUGAAAUCCCCGAGCUUAACUUGGGAAUUGCAUUCGAUACUGGGAAGCUAGAGUAUGGGAGAGGAUGGUAGAAUUCCAGGUGUAG
rnacentral:rRNA from 1 species